rnacentral:rRNA from 1 species
GCAGUGAGGAAUAUUGGACAAUGGGUUAGCGCCUGAUCCAGCCAUCCCGCGUGAAGGACGACGGCCCUAUGGGUUGUAAACUUCUUUUGUACAGGGAUAAACCUACCCUCGUGAGGGUAGCUGAAGGUACUGUACGAAUAAGCACCGGCUAACUCCGUGCCAGCAGCCGCGGUAAUACGGAGGGUGCAAGCGUUAUCCGGAUUUAUUGGGUUUAAAGGGUCCGUAGGCGGAUGCGUAAGUCAGUGGUGAAAUCUCACAGCUCAACUGUGAAACUGCCAUUGAUACUGCGUGUCUUGAGUGAGGUUGAAGUAGCUGGAAUAAGUAGUGUAGCGGUGAAAUGCAUAGAUAUUACUUAGAACAC